UUUGAAAAUAAGUUUUCAAUUGAAAAAGUUUUAAACUAAUAGAUAUGGAUUUAUGAAUAUCUGUGAUGAAUGUGAAUGGUGUUUGUAUGUCGAUGUUCAUACUUGUAGUUGUAUCUUGUACUUGUGCGACGCCAUGUAAAUACAGGGAAGACUCUGCCCGUAUGAACAGUGGAUACCCUGUAUUUGUGGAGGAUCUGACAUCCUCUGGGGUCAAGUUUUUAAAAAA
rnacentral:lncRNA from 1 species